GCCAGUAUGACUGCGGGAGGUGGAAUGGAUAGCAGGGUCUCGAGCACAACCAGUAAUGGAGAGACAAAACCAGUGUGCCCAGGCAUGGAAAAGGCGGAGGAGGCUGGCGGCCUGCAGCGGGGACACUGGAACAACAAGAUGGAGUUCGUGCUGUCCGUGGCCGGGGAGAUCAUCGGGCUGGGCAACGUCUGGAGGUUUCCCUACCUCUGCUACAAAAACGGGGGAGGUGCCUUUUUCAUCCCCUACCUCAUCUUCCUCUUUACCUGUGGCAUUCCUGUCUUUCUCCUGGAGACAGCACUAGGCCAGUACACCAGCCAGGGGGGCAUCACAGCCUGGAGGAAGAUCUGCCCCAUCUUUGAGGGUAUCGGCUACGCCUCCCAGACCAUUGUCAUCCUCCUCAACAUCUACUACAUCAUCGUCCUGGCCUGGGCCCUCUUCUACCUCUUCAGCAGCUUCACCAUCGACCUGCCCUGGGGGAGCUGCCGCCACGACUGGAACACAGAGCACUGCGUGGAGUUCCAGAGGGCCAGCAGCUCCGUGAACGUGAGCUCUGAGAACGCCACCUCUCCCGUCAUCGAGUUCUGGGAGAGGCGGGUCCUGAAGAUCUCGGACGGCAUCCAGCACCUGGGGGCCCUGCGCUGGGAGCUGGCCCUGUGCCUCCUGCUUGCCUGGGUCAUCUGCUACUUCUGCAUCUGGAAGGGAGUCAAGUCCACGGGCAAGGUGGUGUACUUCACAGCCACCUUCCCUUACCUCAUGCUGGUGGUCCUGUUGAUUCGAGGGGUGACGCUGCCUGGGGCCGCCCAAGGAAUUCAGUUUUACCUGUACCCAAACCUCACGCGUCUGUGGGACCCCCAGGUGUGGAUGGACGCAGGCACCCAGAUCUUCUUCUCCUUUGCCAUCUGCCUAGGGUGCCUGACGGCCCUGGGCAGCUACAACAAGUACCACAACAACUGCUACAGGGACUGCAUCGCCCUCUGCUUCCUCAACAGCGGCACCAGCUUCGUGGCCGGGUUUGCCAUCUUCUCCAUCCUGGGCUUCAUGUCCCAGGAGCAGGGGGUGCCCAUCUCUGAGGUGGCCGAGUCAGGCCCUGGUCUGGCCUUCAUCGCCUACCCCCGGGCUGUGGUGAUGCUGCCUUUCUCGCCCCUCUGGGCCUGCUGCUUCUUCUUCAUGGUCGUCCUCCUGGGACUGGAUAGCCAGUUCGUGUGCGUGGAAAGCCUGGUGACGGCGCUGGUGGACAUGUACCCCGGUGUAUUCCGCAAGAAGAACCGGAGGGAGGUCCUCAUCCUGGGGGUGUCUGUCACCUCCUUCCUCGUCGGGCUCGUCAUGCUCACAGAGGGCGGUAUGUACGUGUUUCAGCUCUUUGACUACUACGCAGCCAGUGGCACGUGCCUCCUGUUCGUGGCCAUCUUUGAGUCCCUCUGUGUGGCGUGGGCCUACGGUGCCGGGCGCUUCUAUGACAACAUUGAAGACAUGAUUGGGUACAGGCCGUGGCCCCUUAUCAAAUACUGUUGGCUCUUCCUCACACCGGCUGUGUGCACAGUGAAACGGAAGCCCCAGAGGUUAAGCAGUUCGCCCAAGUUGGAAGGUGGCCGAGAGCUGGGGCUCAAGCCCAGGCAGCUUGGCUCCGGAGUCUGGGCCUGAGCCACUAAGCCCUGCUGCUCUGGCUUUACCUGUGUCAGCAGCACCCACUGUGUGCCAAGUAUGAUGAGGCCGGGGCGGCCCAGGCAUGACCCCUGCCCUCCAGGUGCUCACGGCCAGGCACAGAGCCAUGUCCCAGUUGAGGAUGCCCAGGGGCACGGGGACCCUGGAAGGACAGGGCCACCUUCCUGUCCUCCCUGAUCAAGUACACGCCACUGACCUACAACAAGAAGUACCUGUACCCGUGGUGGGGCGAUGCCCUGGGCUGGCUCCUGGCUCUCUCCUCCAUGAUCUGCAUUCCCGC